GCAGCGGUGGAGGAGAAAGAUGAGGUAGCCAACACUGUUUUUAUAUUAUAUAUAUAUAUAUAUAUUUUAAUUGGGGUAGCCCCCAAAAUAUUGGGACAUAUAAAAAAAGACAACUCUCUUCCACAGAGUAACUGUUGACAUUAUAGUUGUGCAGGAACUUUGUUGACUCUAGAGAACCUCGGACAAAUCGCACAUCCCCACAGCGGCGACUUUCCAUGCGGAUGUCAUCCAUAUCAACUUUUAAAUGCCAGUUUCUGCGCCUACCAUGGUGACCACGGGUAACGGGGAAUCAUUCCGAGCAGGGACCCUGAGAAACGGCUACCACAUGCAAGGAAGGCAGC